rnacentral:rRNA from 1 species
UACGGGGGGGGGCAAGCGUUGUCCGGAGUUACUGGGCGUAAAGGGCCCGCAGGCGGUGGAGUAAGUUUGGAGUGACAGUUCCCAGCUUAACCGGGAAAGGACUUCGAAAACUGCUCGACUUGAGGACUGGAGAGGAAGGCGGAAUUCCGGGUGGAGCGGUGAAAUGCGUAGAGAUCCGGAGGAACACCGACGGCGAAGGCAGCCUUCUGGAAAGUACCUGACGCUGAGGGGCGAAAGCUAGGGGAGCGAACGGG